GAUUGUUCUGACUCAUUUGCGUAAUGCAGAGAAACUGUUUCAUUGUCAAUAGACUCAGACAACAAAGGAUUGAGUUCAACGAACAAUCAGCCAAGUAGACAAGGAGCAUGUGCAAUGUGCCUCAAUUUGAGAUUCACAGCCUCAAUGCUUUUAAAUGAAGAAGUUUAUUAUAGCUAAAUUGAAUUUAUUUAAUAUUUUAUAUAUUUUUAUUUAAUAUAGAUAGCCGCACACAAUCAUCCAGUGCAUACUCUUUGGAUUUAUUUCAGAUCUGUUUUAUAACUGCAAAAAACUGAUUUAAUGUCAAAUCUGCGUGGCUGUUUUGCACUUCGUGUGUCAAAAACAGAUGAAUAAUUCCCUCUGCAGCGCACUUAACGUCCCAAUUCGCAGGCGGACUGUCCCAAGCUGGCAUGUACUGUCGUAUGGGGCAUUUCAGAGUCUGGCAUUGUUCGCCAGUGGAGCAUGCCAGCUCGUUUGCCACCUCUUUCUCUCGAGGAACAUAAACAAGAAAAUAAAUAAUUAAAUAAGCAACAUUGGGCUAUAUGCACGCAUUACUUCCGCGUUUUGUCUAAGGCCGCGGUCCAGCUUCCGGUCUGGGUGAUUUUAAGCGGAGGUAAACAGUAUUAUGGCAGAGUCGUCAAUAUUUACUCGCUGUUUGCGAGUAAAUUAUGGUCAACGAUGUGCAAAUGAUUGUCCGGAUGUACUCUACAACACCGCAGAGCAAAGCUUGAGAAAGGUUUCAAGUUUUAUGCAUCUUCCUACCUGUGCAAUUAUGAAGGUAACAUUAUGAGAUUCAGAGCUAGAAAAUUUUAUGUGUUACUUAAUCCUGGAGCGGACAUCCGUCAGAAGAUCCAUGCCAUCGUCUGCUAGUUAAUAGCUCCUGCUCUUGUGUGGCUGAGAGUGGGAUAUGCAAACAUUUGGUUGCUUUGCUUUUCGAGACAGCCCAUUACUCUGAAAUGUGUAAUGUGUGUUGUCACGUGAACAAUUGUUUGGAAUGGAUCAAUUAUGUGUUAAGUUCCAUGAAACAGAGGGGUGAUUUAUUUAUUUAUUUAUUUAAUACGUAUAAGCCCAAAUACCUCUCUAAGCACAAGUUACAGAAGAAGCACCUGAUUCAAGAAAACAACUGAUUCAAUGUUAUUGUUUCUGUUCAUCUGAAUAAAAUAUUUUUUUCAAAAUGUUA